rnacentral:rRNA from 1 species
UACAGAGGGGGCAAGCGUUGUUCGGAAUUACUGGGCGUAAAGGGCGCGUAGGCGGCUUGUUAAGUCGGACGUGAAAUCCCUCGGCUCAACCUGGGAACUGCGUCCGAUACUGGCGGGCUUGAAUUCGGGAGAGGGAUGUGGAAUUCCCAGUGUAGAGGUGAAAUUCGUAGAUAUUAGGAGGAACGCCGGUGGCGUAGGCGGCGACCUGGAUCGAGACUGACGCUGAGGCGCGAAAGCGUGGGUAGCAAACAGG